UGGACAUUGAUUGUUCCUGUGAUUUGUUUGCUCAAUGGAAAAGGAGUCUACAUUAUCCCUCUAUGUUGUAAUUGUGUCUAAACAAGGAUUUUUAUUUUUGGGGGGGUGGAUAUGGAAAAUGUAAUUAGAAGGAAAACAAAUAUUACUUUCAAAAUAAAUAAUGUUGAUAUGUAUUUAUUAUUGCAAUGAACGUAAUAAUAAUAACUUUACUUUUCUUUUACAUCUUUUUAUUAAUUUGGGUCCAAGCCAAAUUUUCUUCAGGAGACUUAAGGACUACUGUACCAGUUUGGAGAACAUUGUCAGUAAAAAAAUCCAACAAUACUUGUAAUAUUUUCCAUGAAUAUACAGUUGUUGAUUACUGAAUAAUUGGUUUGCACACUCUUGUACAUUACAGUUGUAUAUUUUGUUCUGGUUAAUUAAAAGGAGAAGAAGCGGCACACACUGCUUCAGUCUGCGUAGCGCUGCAUGAAGUCGAACACACCUAUUGGUAUCACAACAUGAUCGCUGUACCACCUGACCAUUGCAGAUUCAUUUUGCAGUUAAUAGUGUCGCCAUAGAAACACACAUUGCUCUCAUAAUUAGGCUACCUUAAUUAUUAUGAGAUGGCUUGAAAGCAGCAUUCAGCUCAUCCAACCCCAAUCAAACACACCUGAACAAGCUAAUUAAGGCAUUUCAGAUUACUAGAAAACUACAGGCAGGUGAGUUUGAUCAGGGUUGGAAUUGACCUGAUCUCCUUGGAUCUUUAAAACCCCAUUUUACAGAGUUUGAUAUUACAGCAACACGUAUUUGUUUGAGUUUUGUGCGCUUCGCUGUCCACUGCUUCUGACGCACCAAUUCAGCGCAUUUUCCAGCAGAGAUCGUUGUGAGAUCGCAGGUCGGGAGAAUGACAGCUCGAGUGUAUUUCUCGUUGAUUGCUGUUAUGUUGUGUCUGUUUGGAUACUUGCGCAUAACUCACGCUAUUCAAAGACGAACCACAGUGGAUGGUUUUUGUCCGGAGAGGCUGACGGUUGUGCCGUCCCAUCGAGGAUGUUCUUCUGAUGAAGACUGCCCUGGAGGACACAAAUGCUGUCGAUUUGACUGUGGGCCUGUUUGUGUGCUGCCUGUUUUCAGUGACUUUCAGUUAAUAAUGGGUCCCAAAAAAAACAAACGAGUAAGGCUCUGUCCCAAAUGGCACCCUAAACCCUCGUUGUCUUCCUCUGAGUCCGCACUUUCGUGAUGUAAUGCUACUUUGACUGUCGGGUAGAAGUCUACUGAGGAGCUCAGUGUGGGCUCAGCAGAAGUGUGGAUCGAGGGUGCAUAACGGCUGCAAACGGGGCGCUCGCAAGCACCCUUCUGAAUGCUAAAAUGACAAAUGGGACACCCUACGGUCUCAUGG
ensembl:lncRNA